rnacentral:lncRNA from 1 species
CACAAUGUCGGAUGCAAGCUCACUGCUGAGCUGCAGAUCUGUCCCAUCACUUCUGCUUCCUGCUGCACAAAGGCAAAGGAUGCACUUUGUGGAUGCAGAGGGGAGUCGGGCUGCUGAGCUGCCAAGUGUGAAGCCUGCCUGGUGAUAACAGCACGCUGCCUCACCUCUCGUGCCCACCCAUGGAGGAAGCGAGUGCACGGCAGAGCAGGC